rnacentral:lncRNA from 1 species
UCAGGCAUGAACUUAACCCUUGAAGUUGACAUUUCACAAACGAAAGAAUAAAAAAGAUUUUGGUUGCUUCAGUGUUUUAGCUUGGAUGAGCCUAGUUGGCUUUGAAGAUUCUUGCCCAGUUGCAUCUCACUCUAUAGUCGAGUUGUACAUACACGGUUUGUACAAUUAACAGAAACUAUUUUUGCAUAAAGACUUAGGAGUCCCUAUCUUC